ensembl:snoRNA
UUCUGGACUUUUAUAAGGAAACAGCCAAGUGAACAACACUACAUAAAUGUUACAGAUUAAUGGAAUGUGCUCUGUGUAGUGUUGUUCACUUGGCUGUUUCCUUAUAAAAGUCCAGAAAUUUGACUUUUAUAAGGAAACAGCUUUUUAUAUAUAUAUAUAUAUAUAUAUAUAUAUAUAUAUAUAUAUAUGUUCCCAAUUAUUU